AAAAAUAAAAAUAAGGGCGUAUGGCGGAUGCCUAGGGAUAUCAAGGCGAUGAAGGACGCGGCGUGACGGCGAUAUGCGUCGGGGAGGUGUCUAGCAACCUUUGAUCCGGCGAUUUCCGAAUGGGGAAACCCAAUCGCGGUAAUACGCGAUUGCCGUGUCUCACUAUCGUUCGACAUAAUUUGCAAUUUUCAAUUCUCAAUUUUCAAUAAAUUUUCAAUGAAACAAUUUUUAAAUCCGUCAUUGAAAAUUGAAAAUUAGAAAUUGAAAUUUGCGUGGCGAGCGGCAGCGAGGCACGGCGCGUACCCGGGGAAGUAAAACAUUUCAGUACCCGGAGGAAAAGAAAACAAUAUUCAGUUAAAUAAGUUUUUGAGUUUCGGCAGCCUUCGGUUGCCUCGCAGUUGAGGAGUUUGUUAACUCCGCAACUGAUUAAACUCAUUAACUUAUUAACUGAAUCCAUUCCCCAAGUAGCGGCGAGCGAAACGGGAACAGCCUAGAGCGAUUUUUGAUUUCUAGUUUACUAGGGAAAAAGAUUCGCAGUUGCAAGAUUGUAGCGUCCCGCCCUUUUGUCUACUUAAAAACUUUUUCUUGAUUUCAAAUUAAUGUGCUGUAUUUUUUGGAUUUCAAGAUAAUCAAUCUUCAGUAGACAUAAGGGCGGGAGAGGGCAAAAAAUCGAAACUUCGUUAGGAGAAGUUGCCUGGAAAGGCAAACCACAGAGGGUAACAGUCCCGUAUCCGAAAACGGUUUCGUGCUCUUUGUUACUGUUCUUAAGUACUGCCCCGUUCGAAGACUGGGCAGGAAUCCGGGUCGACUAAGACCCAAGGCUAAAUACUUGAUAUCACCGAUAGUGAACGAGUACCGUGAGGGAAAGGUGAAAAGCAGCCCGAUGAGGGCGAUGAAAUAGUACCUGAAACCAUACGUUUACAAGGAGUCAGCGCGGUGUCUCACUGGCGUUCGACACCGCUUAAAUUCAAAAUCCAAAAAUCAAAAGUCAAAAUAAAUGAAAGAAAAUUUUUCAAAGAAAAAUUUUUAAUCUAAAAUUUUGCAUUUUGCAUUUUAAAUUUUGACUUUAGGUGGCGAGCGACAGCGAGACACCGCCAUGACGUGCCUAUUGAAGAAUGAGCCAACGAGUUUUUGGAUACUGCUCGAUUAACCCCGCCCUUUUGACUAUUGAUUAUUUCGUUAUACGCUUUGAGAUAUGCAUUACGUUUAUGUAAUCCAAAGCAUCUCGAAAAAUUUUCUGUACAUUGGCAAUGCCAAGGAUCUGAAAAGAAGAUUUGUAGAGCAUAACAAUAAACAGGAGAUUGCUACGAAAGCGUAUGCUCCGUUUAAACUUGUUUAUUACGAAGCAUAUUUUGACAAACGAGAUGCUUUGGAUAGAGAGAAAAAAUUAAAGCAUCAUGGAAGCGUGAUUGGACAUCUCAAGCGAAGAAUUAAAUAUAGUAUUGCGAAAUAGUGUCAAAAGGGCGGGGUGAGUCACAGCGAAAGCGAGUGUUAAUAGCGCGUCUUAAAUUUUUGAGUCAAUUCGCGAUUCGUCGCGGGUGGACUCAUUGAUUUAUAAGUAGUAUUCAAAAGACCCGAAGCCAGGCGAGCUUACCAUGAGCAGGUUGAACUCUGACGAAAGUCAGAGGAAGGACCGAACCGGUGGGUCGUACAACGCCCUCGGAUGACUUGUGGUAAGAAGUGAAAAGCUAACCGAGCCUGGGAAUAGCUGGUUCUCUCCGAAAUAGCUUUAGGGCUAGCGUCGGAUCAUGUUUCCUGCGGGGUAGAGCACUGGAAGGUCUAUAUUUGUCGAAAGACAGGUGGACCUAUCAAACUCCGAAUACGCGGGAAAUUAUUCCGGCAGUCAGCAGGUGGGGGCUAAGCUCCAUCGUGCGCGAAGGGAAGAGCCUAGACCGUCAAAUAAGGUCCCUAAAUCUAUGCUCAGUGGCGAAGGUGGUGGAGUUUCUUAAACAGCGAGGAGGUUGGCUUAGAAGCAGCCAUCCUUUAAAGAGUGCGUAACAGCUCACUCGUCAAGAGAUUCUGCGCUUAAGAUUCAACGGGGCUAAGCAUAGUACCGAAGUUACGGGUUAGCGCAUCUCACUGAGGUGAGAUGCUAAAUGCAAAAUGCAAAAAUCAAAAUGCAAAAUUUAGGAAUUAUUGAAUUUUGCCACGGGCAAAAUUCAACUUCACCAUAAUUUUGAGAUUUGAGAUUUGAAUUUUGAAUUUACGCAUCUCGCUUGAGCGAGAUGCGUUAACGGUAGGAGAGCAUUUUCUUUGCCGUGAAGGUUGACCCGCGAGGGCGACUGGAGCGAAGAGAAGAGAGAAUGUUGGCACAAGUAACCACAAUACCGGUGAAAAUCCGGUACGCCGAAAGCUCAAGGUUUCCUUGGCAAUGAAGAUCAUCCAAGGUUUAGUCGGUCCUAAGGUAAUGGCGAAAGCCGCAGCCGAUGGACAUACGGUUAAUAUUCCGUAACCGUCUUUUCGACCAACGGCAGGACGAAGUUUAGUAUGGUGAGCGCAUUAUUGGAUUUGCGUUCGCGGCAUAAGGAUCCGUUCCUGGCAAAUCCGGAACGGCGGAUUUAAUUCCGAAUCCAAAUGCAGCGAAAAUUUUUUGAGCAAUCUUAAGAAAUUCAUCAAAGCAAACUUCCCAGAAAAUUGUCUAGGAUUAUCGGAAAGACGACCGUACCGCAAACCGACACAGGUGAGCAGCUCGAGUAGAGUAAGGCGAACGAGCGAGACUUCGUUAAGGAACUCGGCAAACAAGCAGCCGUAAGUUCGCAAUAUGGCUUUCCCGCCCUUUUGAUUAAUAAUAAGUGUUGGGCUAAAACGAAAAAAGUUUUUGAGAUAUAUUUUCGUAUUUUGGCACAUACAUUUGUUUAAUCAAAAGGGCGGGACGCAGCUAAAGUACCCCUGGCAACUGUUUACCAAAAACACAGGUCCGUGCUAACUCGCAAGAGGAUGUAUACGGGCUGACGCCUGACCAAUGCGAGAAGGUCAAGGGCGGUUGUCGCUCGGCGCAAGCCGAGCGGCUCUCUGCCACAAGCCCUCGUCAAUGUCAGCGAUAACUAUAAUCGUUCUAAGGUAGCGCAAUUCCUUUUCGGGUAAGUUCCGAAGCGCACGAAAGGCGUAAUGACUGGGGGACUGUCUCAACGAAGUGCUCGGUGAAAAUACAGUACCGGUGAAGAUGCCGGUUACCUGCAGUUAGACGAAAAGACCCCGGGAGCUUUACUGUAGCUUGGUAUUGGGUCUAGGUUUUUGAUGCGUAGCAUAGGUGGGAGGAUACGAGAUUCCGGUUCCGGCCGGGAUUGAUCCGCCAGUGAAAUACCACUCUUUAAAAAUUUAGAUUCUAACCGAUCCGAAACCCCGCCCUUUUGAUUAAACAAGUUUAUAUAUGUUAAAGACACAAAAUGAUAUUCCAAAAUUUUUUGUGUUUCAGUUUAAUCCGUAUUAUUAAUCAAAAGAGCGGGGAAAGCGGAUCGAGACAGUGCCUGGCGGGCAGUUUUUGUGGGGCGCAAUUCUCCUAAAGAGUAACGGAGAAGUUUAAAGGUUGGCUUAGUCCCGAUGGAAACGGGACGGGACGCGCAAAUGCACAAGCCAGCUUAACUGCAAGACGGACAUGUCGCGCAGAUGCGAAAGCAGAAAUUAGUGAACCGAUGGCUACGAUAUUUAUUCACGCUUGGGUUUUCAAUAACCUAAGUGUGGGUAUGUAUUACUUAUUAGAACAAGGCCAAAGAUUAUCGGACAAAAGCUACCCCGGGGAUAACAGGCUAGUUCCGCCCAAGAGUUCAUAUCGACGGCGGAGUUCGGCACCUCGAUGUCGGCUCAACUUAUCCUGGCGCUGGAGAAGGUGCCAAGGGUUCGGCUGUUCGCCGAUUAAAAAGUUACGCGAGCUGGGUUCAAACCGUCGUGAGACAGGUUGGUCUCCUAUCUACUGCAGGCGCCGAUACUUGAAGGAAGUCGUUCCUAGUACGAGAGGACCGGAACGAACGAACCUCUGGUCUGCGAGCUCUACCGCCAGGUGGACUGCUCGGUAGCUAUGUUCGGACGGGAUAAGUGCUGAAAGCAUAUAAGCGCGAAGCCCAUCCUAAGAUGAGGUAUCAUAGAUCCGUGAGAGAUGAUCACGUUGAUAGGCCGCAGGUGUACGCACAGCAAUGUGUUGAGCCGAGCGGUACUAAUAGAUCAUUUUAUUAUUUC
rnacentral:rRNA from 1 species